AUUGAACGCUGGCGGCAGGCCUAACACAUGCAAGUCGAGCGGUAGAGAGGUGCUUGCAUCUCUUGAGAGCGGCGGACGGGUGAGUAAUGCCUAGGAAUCUGCCUAGUGGUGGGGGAUAACGUUCGGAAACGGACGCUAAUACCGCAUACGUCCUACGGGAGAAAGCGGGGGGAUCUUCGGACCUCGCGCCAUUAGAUGAGCCUAGGUCGGAUUAGCUAGUGGUGAGGUAAUGGCUCACCAAGGCGACGAUCCGUAACUGGUCUGAGAGGAUGAUCAGUCACACUGGAACUGAGACACGGUCCAGACUCCUACGGGAGGCAGCAGUGGGGAAUAUUGGACAAUGGGCGAAAGCCUGAUCCAGCCAUGCCGCGUGUGUGAAGAAGGUCUUCGGAUUGUAAAGUUC
rnacentral:rRNA from 1 species